ensembl:lncRNA
AAAGCAAAUAUAUGUUGGAUAAGAUGAGCUCAUCAGGAAAAGUGGCCUGAGAAUUUCGCCUGAGAAUUGGGAAAACCAAGCGAUUUCAGAUGCAAUGGAUUAUGAAUCCUCACAUGAGGAUUUUUUUGAGGAGUACAAACCUCCACCACGAGAUGCAAUCACACUUCCCAACCACAUCAUCUACUUUCUUCUGGCAUCCUCCGCUGCACUGAUCGCGCUCUACGCCAUCAUAAGACACCUCAUUAAAGACCUCAUUCAUGAUCUGGCAGAUUUCCUGUUUGGGGAGCAGCCUGAGGAAGAACUGUUCAACCCCUGGGAAAACAAAGACAAGUUCCAGGUCGACUGGUGUCCAGAGACAAACCCUGAAUUGGAAGCCAUGGUGAAGGCAGAAGAGAUCCAGGUUCUGCUGGAGGGAAACAGGAGCACUCCUGCCAUUUGGAUCAUCUCAGAUGGAAAAGAGCCUAAGGCUCCCCGCUCAGGGCCACGAGUGGCAUUUGGGCGAUUUAGUUAACCGGCCAUAGAGAGGAAUUUACAUGCUGGACUUGUACCAUGGACACUUCUACAAAAAAAAUCCCAUGCUGCAUUCAGAUAUGCAGUGUAGAGCAGAUAAACUGUGCGUGGCUGAAAAAAGGACUAGAACGAAUCUUUUGAUCGUGUGUUUUCAUACAGACACUCUACAUUAUUAGAUGAAGCAGGAUUAGAACGUGGUUCACGUCUGUGUGGGUUAGUUGUCUGUAACCGAGCUAGGCUCUAUACUUAAACUCACAAAUCUGUAGAAUCCUCCUCUUUAUUAUUCAAUGACUUCAUUUUUAAAUGCAGUAACUACACUUAUCAGGUCUUACAGAUGUUUACAUUAAAUAAUUUGACCUAAUUUUGUUUUCAGUUUUCAGCCAGCCCAUGUUUAUAGAUUACUAUCAUUGUCUGCUCAUCAUUAAAAUGUUAAAAACACUAAAGUUUCUAAAAUGUACGUAUAUCGUGAUUUGUUGGCUUAGUCAGAGUCGGGAUCUGUGGUGAGGACCCAAAGCGGGAGCCAUAAAGCUGGUAAUCUUGCACUGGCUCAUUGUAAAAUGUUGGCUCAUUGAUUGAGGAUGAACUUUGGCCUCCUGGAUAGACGUAUCAUGGUGAUAUGAGGCAAAACCACACUCAGACGUUACCGAGGAACAAACACAAUGUCUCUCCUUAGAUAUAUCCUGCCCUGUUUGCUGUUGGCAAGGUCUCACUGCCAGGCUCAGAGUGGUAAGUUAAACUAGUCCACUUAAUUCUGUACCAACUUCUUGUCUUAAUAAGGUUUAAAAUGCUUUUUGUUAAGCAUAAGGCUCAGAACUCAACAUGACUAACCAAUUUUUUUUUUUUUUCAUGCACAAACUGUAUUCAA